rnacentral:rRNA from 1 species
UACGAGGGGGGCUAGCGUUGCUCGGAAUUACUGGGCGUAAAGGGAGCGUAGGCGGACAUUUAAGUCAGAGGUGAAAUCCCGGAGCUUAACUUCGGAACUGCCUUUGAUACUGGGUGUCUUGAGUGUGAGAGAGGUAUGUGGAACUCCGAGUGUAGAGGUGAAAUUCGUAGAUAUUCGGAAGAACACCAGUGGCGAAGGCGACAUACUGGCUCAUUACUGACGCUGAGGCUCGAAAGCGUGGGGAGCAAACAGG